rnacentral:rRNA from 1 species
UACGGGGGGGGCAAGCGUUGUUCGGAAUUACUGGGCGUAAAGGGCUCGUAGGCGGCCAACUAAGUCGGACGUGAAAUCCCCAGGCUCAACCUGGGAACUGCGUCCGAUACUGGAUGGCUUGAAUCCGGGAGAGGGAUGCAGAAUUCCAGGUGUAGCGGUGAAAUGCGUAGAUAUCUGGAGGAACACCGGUGGCGAAGGCGGUCUUCUGGACGGUGACUGACGCUGAGGCGCGAAGGCUAGGGGAGCGAACGGG